GAUAAACGCUGGCGGCGUGCCUAACACAUGCAAGUCGAGCGAGAAGGAUGCAUCGGAAUCUUCGGAGGAGGAAGUAUCUGGAAAGCGGCGGACGGGUGAGUAACGCGUGGGCAACCUGCCCUUAACAGAGGGAUAGCCACUGGAAACGGUGAUUAAUACCCCAUAGGCAUAGAUAAGGCAUCUUAUUUAUGAGAAAGAUUUAUUGGUUAAGGAUGGGCCCGCGUCUGAUUAGUUAGUUGGUGGGGUAAAGGCCUACCAAGACGAUGAUCGGUAACCGGCCUAAGAGGGUGAACGGUCACACUGGAACUGAGAGACGGUCCAGACUCCUACGGGAGGCAGCAGUGGGGAAUAUUGCACAAUGGGGGGAACCCUGAUGCAGCAACGCCGCGUGAGUGAAGAAUGCUUUCGAGCAGUAAAACUCUGUCUAUAGGGAAGAAAAACAUGACGGUACCUAUGGAGGAAGCCCCGGCUAACUACGUGCCAGCAGCCGCGGUAAUACGUAGGGGGCAAGCGUUAUCCGGAAUCAUUGGGCGUAAAGCGUGCGUAGGCGGCUAGGAAGGUCAGAAGUUAAAGACAUGAGCUCAACUCAUGACAGCUUUUGAAACCGACUAGCUUGAGUACAGGAGGGGAAAGUGGAAUUUCUAGUGUAGAGGUGAAAUUCGUAGAGAUUAGAAGGAACACCGGUGGCGAAGGCGACUUUCUGGACUGUAACUGACGCUGAGGUACGAAAGCGUGGGUAGCGAACAGGAUUAGAUACCCUGGUAGUCCACGCCGUAAACGAUGAAUACUAGAUGUCAGCUAGCGAUAGUUGGUGUCGGCGCAAACGCAAUAAGUAUUCCGCCUGGGGAGUACGAUCGCAAGAUUAAAACUCAAAGGAAUUGACGGGGACCCGCACAAGCAGCGGAGCAUGUUGUUUAAUUCGAAGCAACGCGAAGAACCUUACCAAAUCUUGACAUCCCUGUGCCGCAAUAUGUAAAGUAUUGCUCCCACUUCGGUCACACAGGAGACAGGUGGUGCAUGGUUGUCGUCAGCUCGUGUCGUGAGAUGUUGGGUUAAGUCCCAUAACGAGCGCAACCCCUGUUUUUAGUUGCCAUCAGGUUAAGCUGGGCACUCUAAAGAGACUGCCGAAGACAAUUCGGAGGAAGGUGGGGAUGACGUCAAAUCAUCAUGCCCUUUAUGAUUUGGGCUACAAACGUGCUACAAUGGUCGGUACAGAGGGAUGCGAAAGCGCAAGCUGGAGCGAAACCAAAAAGCCGAUCCCAGUUCGGAUUGGGGGCUGAAACUCGCCCCCAUGAAGUUGGAGUUGCUAGUAAUCGUGGAUCAGCAUGCCACGGUGAAUGCGUUCUCGGGUCU
rnacentral:rRNA from 1 species